rnacentral:rRNA from 1 species
UACGUAGGGGGCAAGCGUUGUCCGGAUUUAUUGGGCGUAAAGAGCUCGUAGGCGGCUUGUUGCGUCGACCGUGAAAACCCGGGGCUCAACUUCGGGCUUGCGGUCGAUACGGGCGGGCUAGAGUUCGGUAGGGGAGACUGGAAUUCCUGGUGUAGCGGUGGAAUGCGCAGAUAUCAGGAGGAACACCAAUGGCGAAGGCAGAUCUCUGGGCCGUAACUGACGCUGAGGAGCGAAAGCAUGGGGAGCGAACAGG